rnacentral:RNase_P_RNA from 1 species
GGAACUGACCGGGUAGUCGCUGCUUCGUUGAUGUCCCUUCUUUCUUCGGAUUGGGGGAGACUGACGGAGGGGAGGAAAGUCCGGGCUCCACAGAGCAGGGUGCCAGGUAACGCCUGGGGGGCGAGAGCCUACGACAAGUGCAGCAGAGAGAAGACCGCCGAUGGCCCGAUUUCUUCGGAACGGGCACAGGUAAGGGUGAAAGGGUGCGGUAAGAGCGCACCGUGCGGCUGGCAACAGUCCGUAGCAGGGUAAACUCCACCCGGAGCAAGACCAAAUAGGCCCUCACACAGCGUGGCUCGCGUUAGGGGGCGGGUAGGUUGCUUGAGCCAGUGAGCGAUUGCUGGCCUAGACGAAUGGCUACCACCGCGUUAGCGGUACAGAACCCGGCUUACAGGUCAGUUCCCCUU